rnacentral:lncRNA from 1 species
NNNNNNNNNNNNNNNNNNNNNNNNNNNNNACCCGCAGCCCCCCGCCGCCGCCGCCCCCAGCAGCAGCAGCAGCGGCACCGCCCCGGGCACCGCCAUGCCGCUCGCGCCCGCGGUCAUGUGACCGCCCCUUCACGUGACCCGAGGGGAGAAGCUCCCUCGGCCCCUCCCACCCAGCCAGCGGAAGCCAAUCGGCGCCGCCGCGCGGGAGGAGCGGCUCCGCGUUGCUUCUUGAUUGGCUGCGAGGCGCAGGCAGGAGGCGGGGCGCAGUGAUUGACAGCGCUAGUCCCGCCCCUCCGCCGAUGGACCGUUACCAACGGCUCCCGCUUGCCGCCGCGCUUCCCCCCAAACCCCGCCCCCGCUGCGGAGUGAUUGGCGGAGAGCGGAGACAGGCAAGUGCUCUCCUCCAAUGGGGCGUCGAGGGGGCGCCAGGCGCGUUGCUGCUCCUCGCAGGAGCUGGGGGGGGGGCAGAUCCCGGGGUCCUUCAGAUCCCAAGGGAUCCCCUCAGAUCCUGGGGUCCUCUCAGACGGUCCCAGGGGUCCCAGAUCCCAGGAUCCCCCAGAUCCCAGAGGUCCCUCAGAUCCCGAGGGUCCUCCUCAGAUCCCAGGGAUCCCCCCAGAUCUUGCGGGUCCCCCCAAAUCCCAGGGGACCUCCCAGAUCCCGGGGGUCCCUCAGAUCCUGGGGGUCCCUCUCAUACCUUGAAGAUCCCCCCCAGAUCCCUGGGUCCCCCCUCAGAUCCGGCGAUCCCCCUCAGAUCCCAGGGUCCCUCUCAGAUCCUGGGAUCCCCCCCAUAUCCCAACCCCCCUCUCAGAUCCCAGGGUCCCCUCAGAUCCCGGGGGUCCCUCAGAUCCCGGGGUCCCCCGCACAUCCUGCCCCCCCCCCCCCAGAUACUGGGGACCCCUCAGAUCCCAGGGAUCCCCCUGAGAUCCUGGGGGUCCCUCUCAUACCCUGGGGACCCCCCUUCAGAUCCCAUCGGUCCCCCUCAGAUCUUGUGGGUCCCCCUCAGAUCCUGGGGCUCCACAC